UCUGUCUUCAGCUGUAUUUUAGCCAAGCCCAGGCCCAGUUCUACAGGGGUUCAAAUGACAGCAAAAGCACCCUCACUUGAAGCUGUAAUAAUAGCAUACUAGCAAAAGAGAUCUGGCAAA